GCGCAGCAGGCGAGAACCUCCGCAAUGCGCGCAAGCGCGACGGGCCAUCCCGAGUGCCGCUCGCUGAGGGCGGCUUUCUCCGGUGUAAGUAGCCGGAGGAAUAAGGAGAGGGCAAGUCUGGUGUCAGCCGCCGCGGUAAUACCAGCUCUCCGAGUGGUGGGGACGAUUAUUGGGCCUAAAGCGUCCGUAGCCGGCUUGACAAGUCUCCCGUUAAGUCCAGCGGCCUAACCGCUGGGCUGCGGGAGAUACUGUCAAGCUUGGGGGCGGGAGAGGCCAGCGGUAUUCCCGGGGUAGGGGUGAAAUCCGUUAAUCCCGGGAGGACCACCAGUGGCGAAGGCGGCCGGCCAGAACGCGCCCGACGGUGAGGGACGAAAGCUGGGGGAGCGAACCGGAUUAGAUACCCCGGGUAGU
rnacentral:rRNA from 1 species